AAGGCUUUAGCUUAAUUAAAGUAUCUGUUUUGCAUACAGGUGAUGUGGGUUAGUGUCCUGCAAGUCUUA
rnacentral:tRNA from 1 species